UUCUCUUCAAGUUUCUUUUCCAACCUCUGACUAUUUUCUUCUGCUUUUCUGUUAUUUUCUUCUAACUUGUCUUCCAUCUUUUGACUAUUUUCUUCUAAUUUUUCUUCUACCCUUUGACUAUUUUCUUCUAAUUUUUGUUCUACUUUUUGACUAUUUUCUACUAAUUUUUCUUCUAAUGAUUUACUAUUUCCCUCUAAUUUAUUUCCCAUUUUCUUGUUGUUUUCAUCUAAGUGAAUUAAUUUUCUUUCUAUUUUAUUAUUAUUUUCUUCUAUUUUUGUUAAUAUUAACUCCAUGAAUUUUUCAAGGUCAGACUUUUCUUGUUUCUGUUCCUCUUCUUCCUUUGUCGUCUUCGAAACAGAUCUACGUCCAUCUGCCAUUUUGUAAAAUAUAUCAGACUCAAAAUUUUAAUAUUGAUUAUUUAAUAUGUGACUAUUUUGCCCUAUAUUUAUCUUAUCGUUCCACGUUGGUUGCGCCAAUUAUUAUAUAUUUCGUGGGGCCAAUUAUUAUAGAAGUUAUUUUAUUUUAUUUAUUUUUAUUAUUAAUUAUUUUAUUUAAUUUAUUUAAUUUAAUUAUAUUUUAUUAUUAUAGAAUUAUGUUUAUUUAUUUUUAUUUAUUUAUAGAAUUUUUUUAAAUAUUCUGAUUUAAUAAUUGAUUUUAAUAUUGAUUUUGCCCGGCGCCAUCUAUUAAUCACUUACCUUACUAGCUCAGUUAUAAAGUGAAUUCUGCAUGAGAUCUCCUAUCUGUGGAGGUGUGAGAAAAGAUUUCUGAAAUAUCAACUAAACAAACGACACAAAAAUACAGCUAUAUGAAAUGGUUGAUAAAUAACAAAAGACUGUCGAAUAUUGUACACGAAUUUGGAAAUAUAUUGAAAAUAAAGGCUUUGUUAUGCAACAUCAAAAAUACAAGGUUAUCUAGUCGAAAGUCUGAAGGAAGAAAUAUGAUGCAAUGAAUUUAACUAUAUAAAAAAAAAAAUAAAAGUAUUUGACAAAAAUUUAAGUCGAAGAUAACCCAAAAUUAUCUUGAAUAUUCAAAAUUUGUUAUAUUAAAGCUAGAAAAUGAAAAAAAAAACAUUGACUUUAGAUCAUGAUCAAUUAAAAAUAUAAACUGUUCAGUACAACCUUUCACGAUGUAAUAUGAAGAUAAACCAAACUGCUAUGAAGUCUCUUCGGAUCCAAUAAGAAACCAACUGCUUCUCUUUCACUGGAACAAUGUUCUAAACAUGGUAGAUACCCGCAUCGGAAUACUUUUUCACUUUUCUUAUAAAGUUGAGGGUCAUUUUUGAAAAUUUUUUCUUCACCAUGAAGAUUAUUUAUACAGAUUGAUGUCUAUUUCAACAUAAUUUCACAAAUCUACACAUGCAGCUAAGUGAUGCAAGACGUAUCACCUUAACGAAGUUCCUUUCGAAGUGACUUUUGGAAACAUGGAACCUUUUGAUGAUUCUUACGAACAAAUAAGGCUAUUGUAUGAUAAAAAUAGAAGUAAUUCUCAGGUAAAACUCAAAAUUCAAAUUAUUAUAUAUUCUAUUUACUAAUUUCUAAUUUAUAUGUCAUUGAAAUAUCAUCUUUGAUAUAGGAUUACCUAUUUUGAUUUCUUAUGUAAUUCUACCUUUAUACACUUAAAUAAAACCAUCUUAUAAC
rnacentral:lncRNA from 1 species